rnacentral:rRNA from 1 species
AUUGAACGCUGGCGGCAUGCUUUACACAUGCAAGUCGAACGGCAGCGCGGGCUUCGGCCUGGCGGCGAGUGGCGAACGGGUGAGUAAUGCAUCGGAACGUGCCCAGUAGUGGGGGAUAGCCCGGCGAAAGCCGGAUUAAUACCGCAUACGACCUGCGGGUGAAAGCGGGGGACCGAAAGGCCUCGCGCUAUUGGAGCGGCCGAUGCCGGAUUGGCUAGUUGGUGGGGUAAAGACUUACCAAGUCGACGAUCCGUUGCUGGUCUGAGAGGACGACCGGCCACACUGGGACUGAGACGCGGCCCAGGGUCCUACGGGAGGCAGCAGUGGGGAAUUUUGGGCAGUGGGGGCGACCCUGGUCCAGCGGGGCCGCGUGCGAGAAGACGGCCUUCGGGUUGUAAUCCGCUUUUUUUCGGGAUGAAAUCCUCUGGGCUAAGACCCCGGGGGAGUGACGGUACCGGAAGAAUAAGCACCGGCUAACUACGUG